rnacentral:rRNA from 1 species
UACGUAGGGGGCAAGCGUUGUCCGGAUUUACUGGGCGUAAAGAGCGUGUAGGCGGCCAAACAGGUCCGUUGUGAAAACUGGAGGCUUAACCUCCAGACGUCGACGGAAACCGUAUGGCUAGAGUCCGGAAGAGGAGAGUGGAAUUCCUGGUGUAGCGGUGAAAUGCGCAGAUAUCAGGAAGAACACCGAUGGCGAAGGCAGCUCUCUGGGACGGUACUGACGCUGAGACGCGAAAGCGUGGGGAGCAAACAGG